GGCACCAACGGAUGACACCGAUAAAUCCGUGGCAAACAAGGGGGACUACUGGAGGCUGGUGGCACCCUCGGGCUCAAGCGCAUGACCAGCCUGCUUGUGCGCCAGACAAAGGCCCGGCCGGGCAUGCUGCGUUGUGUCCAAUCUGUUUGUAUGUUCCGACAUGCAUGCAUAUUUAUGAGUGAGAAAGUAAGUGGGCUCCUUGUUAAUAGGGGUGGUCUUUGUCGAGCUGAGAGAGAAGUAUGUAUAAAAAUAAGUAAAAUAAAUGAAAUUAAAAAAGAAAUAAAAUCUACCACAAUAUCUUUAGCUGACCCAUCAUGGCUUGAGUGUCAGCCAAUCCAAGUAUUAAUUGGAUUAGAAUGUAUAAAAAUACCUUUUGGUGAGAUAGGAUACUAAGCAUCGUGCUGCGUGAUGACACACAAAAAAAAAAGUAGAGGAAUUUCUUUUUUUAGCUCAAGUGCUGAAAGCUAAAGUCAUGGCGGCGGCCCAGCUGCCCUGUCACUUUCCACCCCAAUGAAUGACACGGCCUGUUUUAACAUAUAUAGAAUGAGACUAAUCAGUAGACAAUGCAGAUCAUAUGGGCAAAGAAGGUUAUAUAAAAAAUGAAGCACUGCGGUGAGGAUGUCACAAACGCUCUCUAUGUUGUGCAGUGAAGCAUUGCAAAUGCAGUACAAUCCUCAGGCAAAAAUGAAUUCUUGAAGGUGGAGUCACAUUAUUCUAUGAUUUUUCUUUUGAAAAGUCAUGAGUUAGUCUGCUGACAUGUUCUCUGGUCAAGGAGACUCUUCUAAUAGGGUGUUGACACAUGAGGCACUCAAAUAAGCAUAUCAGAUUGUAAAGUCAUGGCACUGCCUUUAAUUGACGCUUCAGAAUGACUUAGAAUUUUGCUUUUCUUGGUUUGAGCGAUUGCUCAAUGUCAUAAUUCGUGUCUGGCCAAAGAUAACAAAAUAUUCUGCAUUACCUUUAAUUCGUGAUAUGUUGCUCAUUGGGUCACUCAUUUCCUUUUCUUUCGUGAUCUUAUCUGCAUUAGAAUGAGACAAAACAAAAAUAGGAAAAAAAAAAAAGCACAGAUGGUGGUUAAAGAUUGGAAAUACAUUAACAACAAAUCCAACAGUGCUUGUUUUUUCACGAGCAAGUUGCACCGUGAGGAUAUUAAUUAAUCGCAAGAAAAUUGUCAAACUUAGUUGAAAGAGUUACCUCAAUAAUCCAGACCAGGUUAGUAUUGCUCUGCGGCUCCAGCAGUCCUUGACAUGAAGAACUCUUCUCCAACUAUCAGAUUUUUUCUGAUGCUCAACGGAAUAGUCCAAACGGGGACCUGGGGCGGGGGUGGGGUGUACUCUGCACUUAGUGCCAGAUCUCGCUAAUUUUGCACCAAAAAACCCACGAGUGACAAAUUUGUGUUCCAAAAUAUAUUCAAAAGCAAAUAAGUUAAGUGUGAUUAAAACGAAUCGCUCGUGAAUUGGUCAAAUAAAUCCCCCGAAAAGAUGGCACCCCUCUGUUUUGUUGUGGCGUUGGCCUGCCCCUCCACACUAGGUCAUGCAUCUGAGUCCCGGCCGGCCGGCAUCACGGAAGCUCCAGCUGCAUACUGACACUGAGAGGUUUUGUUUAGAGUGGCCUGCUGCUGAUGAUGAUGCGGAACGUCACAGAUGAUCCUCUACUGUCCUCCAUAUAUCGUUCAACGCAAAACUAUAAAAGCAGUCAUAAUCAAUUGGAGAUUGCAUUUCA